GAUAACAGCCGGAAACGGCUGCUAAAACCGCAUGACAUGUGGAUACCGCAUGGUAACCACAUCAAAUAUUUAUAGGUACAGGAUGGGCCCGCGUCUGAUUAGCCAGUUGGCAGGGUAACGGCCUACCAAAGCGACGAUCAGUAGCCGGCUUGAGAGAGUGACCGGCCACAUUGGGACUGAGACACGGCCCAAACUCCUACGGGAGGCAGCAGUGGGGGAUAUUGCACAAUGGGGGGAACCCUGAUGCAGCGACGCCGCGUGAGUGAAGAAGCAUCUCGGUAUGUAAAGCUCUAUCGGCAGGGAAGAAAAAAAUGACAGUACCUGACUAAGAAGCCCCGGCUAACUACGUGCCAGCAGCCGCGGUAAUACGUAGGGGGCAAGCGUUAUCCAGAUUUACUGGGUGUAAAGGGAGCGUAGACGGCAGCACAAGUCUGGAGUGAAAUCCCGGGGCUUAACCCCGGAACUGCUUUGGAAACUGUGCGGCUGGAGUGCAGGAGGGGUAAGCGGAAUUCCUAGUGUAGCGGUGAAAUGCGUAGAUAUUAGGAGGAACACCGGUGGCGAAGGCGGCUUACUGGACUGUAACUGACGUUGAGGCUCGAAAGCGUGGGGAGCAAACAGGAUUAGAUACCCUGGUAGUCCACGCCGUAAACGAUGAUUACUAGGUGU
rnacentral:rRNA from 1 species